AAACUCUUCACUGGGAAUACAAUAUUAGUCAGAAGGAAUAAACUUCGCUUUGAAUCCACAAGACGUCACGGCCUGCUUCUUCACUUUAACCAUAGUGACUGGGUUAGCUGACCGCCUAGGGUUGAAUAGAGACUUCUGCGUAC
rnacentral:ribozyme from 1 species